rnacentral:rRNA from 1 species
CUAGCUUGCUAAUAAUUCUCUAGUGGCGCACGGGUGAGUAACACGUGAGUAACCUGCCCCCAAGAGUGGGAUAGCCCCGGGAAACUGGGAUUAAUACCGCAUAAAAUCGCAAGAUUAAAGCAGCAAUGCGCUUGGGGAUGGGCUCGCGUCCUAUUAGUUAGUUGGUGAGGUAACGGCUCACCAAGGCGAUGACGGGUAGCCGGUCUGAGAGGAUGUCCGGCCACACUGGAACUGAGACACGGUCCAGACACCUACGGGUGGCAGCAGUCGAGAAUCAUUCACAAUGGGGGAAACCCUGAUGGUGCCACCCCGCGUGGGGGAAUGAAGGUCUUCAGAUUGUAAACCCCUGUCAUGUGGGAGCAAAUUAAAAAGAUAGUACCACAAGAGGAAGAGACGGCUAACUCUGUGCCAGCAGCCGCGGUAAUACAGAGGUCUCAAGCGUUGUUCGGAAUCACUGGGCGUAAAGCGUGCGUAGGCGGUUUCGUAAGUCGUGUGUGAAAGGCGGGGGCUCAACCCCCGGACUGCACAUGAUACUGCGAGACUAGAGUAAUGGAGGGGGAACCGGAAUUCUCGGUGUA